rnacentral:rRNA from 1 species
UUACGCUGUUAUCCCUAAGGUAACUUUUUCUUUUGCUCAGAAACUUCUGGGUCUAUUAGACUCAAAUCAUUAUAUUAAUCCCCUGUUAUAAAAGAGGGGAGGUUGCCCCAACCAAACCUAGGUAAAGCUCUAUAGGGUCUUCUUGUCCCACUUACUAAUUAAGGUCUCUUCACCUUAAAAUCAAUUUCGAGUUAAAUAAAGAGAGACAGUCUCUCUGUCGUCUAGCCGUUGAUACUAGCCUGCAAUUAACAGGCGAAUGAUUAUGCUACCUUUGCACAGUCAGUAAUACUGCAGCCGUUUAACUAUUGUCNAGG